rnacentral:rRNA from 1 species
UACGGAGGGUGCGAGCGUUGUCCGGAUUUAUUGGGUUUAAAGGGUGCGUAGGUGGCUGAUUAAGUCAGUGGUGAAAUACAGCCGCUCAACGGUUGAGGUGCCAUUGAUACUGAUUAGCUUGAAAGAAUUGGAGGCUGCCGGAAUGGAUGGUGUAGCGGUGAAAUGCAUAGAUAUCAUCCAGAACACCGAUUGCGAAGGCAGGUGGCUACGAUUUAUUUGACACUGAGGCACGAAAGCAUGGGGAGCGAACAGG